AUGCAGUUUGAUGUCUGUAUAGAAAUGUGGAGAUAGAUGAAGAAGCUAAACCAUACAAGAUGCUAAAACGUACCUGAAAACGCAGCAAGACCGAGAAAAUUGGAUUACCCAGGGACAGCACCCAUAGAGUUGGCAGGCUUCUGAGGACAAGCAACACUGGGGGAGGAGCGCAGAUGCAGGUAGCUUGAACGCUUAGAAGAUCGCCGGAGUGCCUGCACCAAUCCUGUGUCUGUCUUCUGUUGAAUGGAGCAUCGGGGCUCCUUCCUUGGUUAAGAUGAUUGAGCAGAAAGGAUCCAUUCACAGUUUCAGCAGCAUCUCUGGAAUGGCUAUGUGAAGGAACACUGCAAAGAGCUGGAAUUCCAGGUAGCAUAGCAGCUUGGAGCAUAGGUACUUGUACCAUCUGGUUAGUAACUGCCAUUUGAAGGAGUUUGCAACACAGUAUGUCCAAUUGCCUCACUGUACCCAGGUCUAUCCUAGUUUCCUGGGGCACAUACUUAUCUUACAAGUGGAAAUAGAACAGAAAACAUAUACAUAGGCUAUUGUGAUUUGAAUGUGAA
rnacentral:lncRNA from 1 species